AUUGAACGCUGGCGGCAGGCCUAACACAUGCAAGUCGAAUGGUAACAGGAAACAGCUUGCUGUUUCGCUGACGAGUGGCGGACGGGUGAGUAUUGUCUGGGAAACUGCCUGAUGGAGGGGGAUAACUACUGGAAACGGUAGCUAAUACCGCAUAACGUCGCAAGACCAAAGAGGGGGACCUUCGGGCCUCUUGCCAUCAGAUGUGCCCAGAUGGGAUUAGCUAGUAGGUGGGGUAACGGCUCACCUAGGCGACGAUCCCUAGCUGGUCUGAGAGGAUGACCAGCCACACUGGAACUGAGACACGGUCCAGACUCCUACGGGAGGCAGCAGUGGGGAAUAUUGCACAAUGGGCGCAAGCCUGAUGCAGCCAUGCCGCGUGUAUGAAGAAGGCCUUCGGGUUGUAAAGUACUUUCAGCGGGGAGGAAGGGAGUAAAGUUAAUACCUUUGCUCAUUGACGUUACCCGCAGAAGAAGCACCGGCUAACUCCGUG
rnacentral:rRNA from 1 species